UUCACUUUCUGUUUCCUUGAAGUCGUUGUUCUUGGCUGCAAUACGGUUGAUCAUAUUCUAAAUAUCUGAGUUUCGGCGUGAAGAACCGGCAGAUAGUUGCAGCGACAGGUUGCCUGCUGCGCUGCUUCACGUUCAUCUCAUUGACGUUGUGAUUUAUUCCGUUUUCAGGUGGAAUCAUGUCAGGUUCAUCUGAGAAAAUCAUUGAUCCUGAAGCAGCCUCCACGCUGGAGGAGCAACGUGUUUGCACUGACUCAGAAAUUCCAAAACCUAUCAGUGUGAUCCUAGAAAAUCUGAAAGGCUUCGUCCCACAUGAGUCUUUG